CCACGUCACAUUGAAACACUGGUUCUCUAUACGAUCACCGAAGUUAAGCAACAUCAAGCCUGUAGAGUACCUAGAUGGGGACCACUUGGGAAUACCAGUUGCUGUAUG